rnacentral:tRNA from 1 species
UCCCUGGUGUUCCAAUGGUUAAGACUCCACCCUUCCAAUGUAGAGGAGUCCAGGUUCGAUCCCUGGUCAGGGAA